UUCUAUCCCACGCUUCACUUGUACUCAAGAAUCAUGUUAUUCUCUGGGGCCAAUCCAACACAAGCUCUCAUAAUGUUUUCCAGCAUUGCACGCUGCUUUGACAAUGCAUUCACCACUGGUGUGCCCGGUGGAACCUGUGAUAGUUAUCUCUUGAGUUAAUUUGCAAACUUUUUGAGGAAAAUGAACACGGGAUAAAAGGGAAAUUCACUUUAACAAACUUCGAAAUUGGAGGGAUUGUAUCUCCAUAAUGAGCUUACUACAUAUGUUUCCCUAAACUUAAUUUCUAUUUAAAAAAUAAGCAUGUGGACUCAACAUUCAAUAAGAUUAGAUUAAACUCACUAGAGGAGCCUUGGUCAGGUAGCUGAGAAUGGUAGCAACUGGGUGGAAUGAGUGGAAUUUUCCCUGCAGCAACCACCACAACACAGUGAACUCCGAAGUCAGAAAAGCUACAAAUAAUACAAUGACCAACACAAUCAAGCAAUUAAAUUUAGCAAUGCAUGCAGACCUCCUUUUCAGCUUUGAACUGGAUACGAGUGCUAAGCUCAGCAAGAAGGACCAAGUCCAAUAUAAUAGGAGCAGCCAAGAGAGAAUCCUCGCAUGUAUUGUGCAGCACAAUGGUGUUCUUUCCACCCAUGAAUAUCUCUGAAGUGUACUCAUCCAUGGCUCUCUUGCUGUCCGCAACGUAAGGCACAUACUGCAAUAGAAACAACAAAGCAGACAGAAUCAAAGACCUGACAAGAGAAAGAAAUAAAGAAAAAUAGGUGAAACAACAUUUACCUUAAUAACAACAACAUGGUCGGGAUGUUCACCAGGCUCAUAGAGGAUGGCAUUGCUGUUGACCAUAUCAUCAACAACGUUACUCUUGGAGAUUUCCUUGGAACGGAAGGUUUGUGGAGCAGAGAGAUUCAUACCAUCAUUGUUUCCAAGAUGGUUGUAACUAACUAUUGAUGUUGGCUGUCAAUGGUAAACAGAGAACACUUGAAGAAAUCAAUUUAUUCCUACUUUUUUGCCACAUAAAAUUAGCACAAUACAUAAAUUCUAAACCAAACAUAGAAAGGAUAGAUUGUACUAGUAAAGAAAACACCCAUGAUAUGACAUUGAUAUACCUUGAUACCAGCCCCCACAAGGAAAUCUACCAGCACGGAUUUCAUUUUGGUCUGACCACUCUUGAAGUCAUCUCCUCCAAUCAAACAGUUUUUCUGGAUGGCAAAAUCAAUCAACCCUGAUGGCAAGCAAAGUUAAUAUUGCAUCAAUUAAUACAAUUAAGUUGUGGGAAACUAAAAAGGUAAGCAUUCAACCUGGGACAAAAGUGUUCUGAGGGCUUCCGUUGAUGAAUGGAACAUUUUCCGUAACACAAGCAAUGGCAAACAAGGUGGAAGGAGAAAUCUCAGCCUCAUUUCUGUCCAGGGCAGCCAAGAGGUUCUCCGUGGUGUCAUUAAGACCGACAACCAAAUUACUGUACCUCUCUGUGUUGGCAGUCCACAGGACAACCACCUUGUCCACUUUGGUGGCUGCCUUAAACUUCCUGAGUUCAUGUUAAAAUUUAAAUAAGGUACAGGUAAAUUAAUCCCCAAAGCAUGCAUGUAGAUUGAAAUGGAACAUACUUAAUGUCUUUGAUGACUUGUUGAACUUGCUCUUUCUUUGUGCCCUUGAUCACAUUGUUAGCACGCUCUUCUUGGUUGGCAGCAAUGAAAUCUGGGUCAUAGAUUCCAGGGAGUGGAACCAUGGAUUCCAUAUAAGGCCUCAACUGCUUCUGCAAAUCGAUGUCAAACACCUUGGCCCUACCCAUGGCAUCAGCCAGGUUCAUGUUACUGAUAUCCCAUCCCCCAAACACAAUGUCGUCAGGGUUAACCUGCCAAGAGAUUUCAAGAGCAUGCAUAAUCAUAAUCAAAGUUUAUUGUCACACAUAAUUCCAAAACAAUAUGAAAAACAUCAACCAAUACUCGUAAGACUAAAUCUGGUGAAUCAAUUAAAAAGCUGAAUUUUAAAACUAUGAUAGAAUACCAUUGGAAGAAGGCUCUUGAAUGGGGCAUAGAUUUCCUCUCCCUGGUAGGAGCCAACUCGGAUAGCGGAAGCUUGGGUGAGGGAGCCAAAGUAAUUGGCUUGUUGAAUCUUGUCCUUUGUUGCCCAUGAAAUGCCCCUGAGAAUCAUAUAACGCAAAAUGACCCAUUAAUGUUAGCAUGCAAAAGGCUUCUCUUAAAUCCAAACCAAAAACCACAGGUUAAGAAAAAAAACUAACUCUCGGUUAGCAAUAACACCACCAGUGAGGGUUGAACCGUUGUUUCCACCCCACCCCACAAGCAUUACCCUGGUAAUUGAUCAACAGGCAAAUGAAUCAGAAACUUGGAAAUAAACAAAUAAAUAAAAAUUGAGAGAGGGUUUGGAUCUAGCAUUAAGAAAAAGGAGGUAGAUUUUGAAGCUAACCCCAAUUUAGGAACAUGGGUGUUGGUUUUAAAUUCAUAUUUGACAGAUUUGGGUUUGAUAAUCCACUGAUAGGCGCCAUUUCUGUUCUCGUGAACAAGUUCGGUGGUUUCAUAGUUAUACACGGACUGAAUCUCAGUCUCGGAGUACUUAACAUUAGGAGACUCAACCUUAAAAUUCUCAAUGAACAUUUUUGUUUGUUCAGAGAUUAAGAAUGAAAAUUGAAGAAGAAUGAAGCAAAGGGGUGGGCGCUAAUGCGGUGCAGUGGAAAGGUAGAAAGAUUUGUGAAAGAUUAGAGGGUGGCCAUGAAUAUAACGGAAGUGCUUCCUAUAUAUAGAGAAAACAUGAUCUUCUCUCUACACGUGUGACACACUUCUCUACUUCAUUUACAAUCUCAUUUUUCCUUUCACUUCCUUUUGGUUUCUUUUAUUAUAAUUCUACUAAUAUACAUUUUAAUAUCUAAUUUCAAUCACUUCAAUUCUAAUUAUAUUAUCCAGAAAUAGUUGUAAAGUUCUGUAUCUGGCUACAAGGUGUCCGUUUUCUCUUGAUACGCGGUGAUACACGCUCAAAUUAGUAACUCACUUCGCUGGAUUCAUGGAUUAGUCCAUUAUUUUUAUAACUUUUCUAUUUUGUAUUUAUUUACUUAAUUCGUUGUAGUAAUUAAUUUUAAUUUUUAAAUAACAAAAAUGUAAUAAAAUGUUAAAAUUCAAUCCAACUCUAAUAUCCUAAUAAAAGAAAGUGUUAUACCUAAUAAAUUGUCAGAAUUGUCCAUUUCGCGGCCACUUUUUUAAUUUUAUUUUUUAAAAUAUUUUAUUUUAAAUUUAUUUAUUUGAUACUUUUUAGAUAAUUUUAGACAAUAAUGUAAAUAAAAAUAAUUAAAUUGAAUUAAAUUUUAAUAUUUUUAUAAAAGAAGGUCUAAUAUUUUAACAAAUCCUCAUAUGUCAUUUUUUAUUUUAGAUUUUUUAUUAAUUAUAAAUAUUGAUAUUAUUUUUUUACAAUAAAAAUAUUAAAAAAUAAUAAAAUUGAAUUAAACUUUAAUAUUUUAAUAAAUAUAUAUAUAUAUAUAUAUAUAAAAGAAAUUGAGGGUGGAUUGAAAGCUGGCCUCCACUUUUUUUCUUUUUUUUUAAUUUUUUAAUUUUAAAUUUAUUUAUUUGAUUAUAGUUAUUGGUAUUUUUUAUAAAUAAUAAAGAUAUAAAAAAAUAUAUUAAAUCAAACACUAAUAUUUUAAUUAAAAAAAUUAAUACCUAAUAAAAUAAAAACAAUACUUUAACAAAUGAAAAUAUUUAUAAAAAAGUGAAUAUAAAUAAAUUUAUAUAAAAUACUAAACGCCGCUAAUUAUAAUUCUAUAAACAUAAAAUUCAAAAGUCUCAAAAUUAAAAAAAAAAUAUAUAAUGGCAGUCAGAUAUUUAUUAUUAUGAACAAUCAAAAUGGAAACUAUGCUUUUUUAUUAAAAUAAUCUAUUUAUGUUAAAAAUUAAUAAUUAUUCAAAAAUUAGUUAAAUAAGGAAGGUGGGAUGUUGAAGGAAGUGAAGUAGGUGGUUUGGGUUUAGAGAGAGAAAGGAAGAGAGUAGAACAUUGGCUGGGACCACACCACAUAGUAGCUUUGUGUUCCUCAAACAAGAUUCUGGACAAAUUCGGACACUUCUGGAAUCUUAACUACUUUACUUUCACGCUCCAACCAAGUCGCGUCUUUACACGCUCCAAACUUUAUGGCUACCUUACAUGACACACUUAUUCAAACGCAACCUAAGACCUCUAUGAUUAUAACGCUCUAUUUAGCGGAAACACUUAAUAUUUCAUUUUAAUAUAUAUUUAUUUAUUUAUUGUAUUUGUAUUUUAGUUUAUAAAUAGUUUUAUCUUGACUCUUCUAAGUGUUUCUCAGAAUCAAACAACUUUUUUUUUUGGUUGAUUUGGUAAAAUUAACCUUGUUGAUGACAAAACCUAACGAGAUCAAACUUGUAAAAUUUAGAAUACCAAACUUAAAAAAACAAUAUCAUUUUAAUAGAAUUUUCUGUGUAUGUAGAGUUUCAGUAGAGAAAAAAUUAGUGCUUAAGUUUGUCAUUUAUAACAUUUUGGUCUUAACAAUUAAAAAAAUAAGGUUUCACAUAUGUAAAAACAUGUCUAGUGAAUUAUCAAAAAUUUAACUACUUAUAAAAUAAAUUUUACAAUAUUUUUGUUUUGAAACAAAAAUUAUAUGAAAUUUUAAGAAUAUCCUGUAGCAAACCCGUAAAAAAUAAAUUAAACUGGUGAAAUGAGUUUUGCACUGAAAUAAUGUUACUAACAGAAUGAAAGGUCCCUACUAAAAUCCAGCCAAUAAAAAAGGUAAAUAAACUCUCACUCUCUUAUUUGUAACAAUAACUAUUAUUUUAACCUGUGCAACUCAUGGAUGCUGUUACUUAUUUAUUGAGUUUAGAAAUAAAUUAAUUGUAAAAUUAGACAUUUUAAGUAUUGGCUACAAAAUAUUAAUUAUAAAUAAAGACAAUUAAUUAUAUUGAACUUUAAUUAAUUUAUAGGAGGUGAGAAUAUGUUUCUAAUUUAAUUUCCAUGUAUGAAUUACAAAGAACUAAAAAUAGAAUGCAUAUAAAUAUAUAAAUACAAAGUGUGAAUAUUAGAAAAUAAACAUCAAUAAUCUUGUGAAUAAAUAAACUAAGCAUACUAAUAAUAAAGUGCGAAACAUAAAUUGUUGAAGUUUCAAUAAAGUGAAACAAAUAAAUUUAGCAGAGUUGGUAAAAAAGAAAUACUUAUAUAAAAAAAAAACAUUUCUCAUGGAAAGACAAUAACUUUUGUUAUUGAGUUUGUUGACUUGUGCUUCAACAAAGACAAUCUUAUUGUCUUCUUUAAUAGUGUUUAACAUACAAACAUCCUUUUAUUCUUGUCCAAUUUUUUUUAAUUUAUUUAUCCUUUCUUAUCAAUUAAAAUUUUAAAUAAUUUUAUUUAUUUCAAAUAUUUUAUUUAAGUAAGACAUUAAAUUUUUAGAAUUUAUAUUUUUUAAAAUCUGAUAAUUUUGGUGUCAAAUUGCAUCUAAUCCGAUUAAAAAACAGUUUUGAUCUCUGUGACAUAAAAAAAGGUUACGGACACGUGACCGUACUUGGACGUAGAUUAAUAAAGAAAAGUAAAUGAUGCUUUAAUAACCUUGAGUUAUAUAUAAUUUUUAAUAUAAUAAUUUUAGAUAUAAAUAUAUAUAAUAAAAGAUAGCUUUAUAAUUAAAUAAUAUAAAAAAAUAUUAAAAUUGAAGAAUUAUAAUAUGAUUGUAUAAAAUAUUUGAAUUAUAAAUAUAUCAUUAUCCUAAAAAGAAUAGGUUAAGCUUAGGUGUGUAAGGCGUGGGACCCAAAAGUCUGAGACCCAUGUGACUUAUCUAAUCACGAGACCUCCUUGUGAUGUCACCACAUAAUGCUUUUGUGGUUUCUGUCUCACCAAAAAUCACACUCCUUAUAUAAAUUAAUAUCAUUUAAAAAACUUUAACUUAACUUUAUAAAUAAUAUUUACGUCCAAUUGUAUAUUUUAAUUUAAUUUUUCAACAUAAAGAACCCUUUAGUUUAUUUAUAUAGAAGUCAAAUUAAAAUUGCCAUUUGCGUCAUGAGAAAUGCAAAUCAUGCACGUUACUCUUCAACAAGCUUUUCCCUUUACUUCCACCUUUUUCAAUUUGAUAUAUGUACUUUCACUCUUUAAUGCAAUUUUUUAAAAACUGAGUUCUGUUACAUUUGCAUUCAAAUUAUUUUAUUUACACCUGCUCUGUAGAAUUUAAACGUGUGUGUCUCUCUCGUAAUAAACAAUACUUAACAUUUGAUUGAACACAGCACGUGGAUAUAAUUAUAUGUAAAAUCAAUCAUAAUACUAUAAGAAAAUUAUUAUAUAAAAACUAAUCUUAAAAAAAAAAAUUAAUUGUUAUAUUAAAUGGGUGAUCCGAUAACGGCCUGAUAGCGAGUAACCUGAUAAGACCAACAAACACUCACUAGGAUAGACUCGAAAUGACUCUGAUACCAUAUUACAAAGUGAUCUCCAACAAUAUUUAAUUAACUACCAAGAUUUUAACUAUCAAUUAUUUAAAUUCUAAAUUUGCUAGGAAAAACUUUGAUGGUUAUAUCUAUACAUUUUUUAAAAUAACUUUCCACUACCUAUAUUUUUAUACACUUAAUUUAGACUCAGUUUUUUUAAUUACUUUCUACUUUUCUCUAGUUAAAAAUAGAGUAUCACUUCAAUAAUAUGCAUAAUAAUAAGGAUUUACAUUCAAGAUACUCCAACUAUCUCAUAUAAGAAGAAUUAUACACACUACAACAAGAAAACCAUUACAUAAAAACUAAUUUUAUAUAAAAACAUUUCAUCAUAUAUCAUUACAAGAAAAUCAUUACAUAAAAACUAAUUUUAAAGAUAAAAAUUAGUUAGUUGUUAUAAUGACUAAAUUAGAAACCAUUUUAGAGACUAAAAAAAAUAUUGAAUUUUAAAUUAAUUUAUAUUAUUCAUAAAUAGUUUUUAAAUUGGUAUCUAAUUAUCUACCAAAAUUUUAACAACUAAUUUUAAGGGCAAAUGAAAUUAACAUGCCAACUCAACCAAUUAAGUUGCAAUUUGAACAUAGAGAUUGAAUGAUUUUAAUUGGAUAUAAAAGCAUUUCAAUGUGAGUUUUAUAGAGUAUCUUAUUUAAUGGAGAUAUAAUCUUGGAAUAAUAUUGUCUAGCUGGAACCUUGCUUAUACAACCACUUUUAAAACUUUAUUGACAAAAUAAAGAAUCAGAUGACUAAAAAGAAGAUUCAGAACAAAGUUAGAGAAAACUAACCAAACAUAUAUCAAAAUAUAGACUCAACAAAAAAAGACAUAAAAAGUAAAGCGUUACACCUUUUAAACGAAUUCGAAGGUAACAGACUAAGCUUUCAAUAUAAAAUUUUAAUUGAACUAUUCUCUUGUUGAACGUGAGAAAUAAAAUGUUGCAGAAGACAAUAAUACCUAUUAGCUAGGGACCUUCCACUUUGUUCACAGGAGGGUAAUAGAGAAUAAGGUUGCUACUAGGGUAAAUCUGGAAAGACGCGGGUGGUGAUUGAGAUCCCUUAUGUUGUCUGUGUGGGAUGGUGUCUUUGUUUUAAGUGACUAGGCGUGUCCUUCGUUAUUCAUAAGGAUCCUUUGGCAAACUUUCUACAGUUUAGGUUAAGUCAAGCUUCAGAUUCGGUUAAUGACGUUUGGGUGCAAUUUGGGUUGGAGUUGUGAGUGGUAUUUGGAAUCAUAGGAACUGCGUGUCUUUCGAUAGGGGGUGGUAGAUGCGCUCGAAGUAUUCGCCUUAGUACAGGUAAAGGUUUGGUCGUGGAUUUACGCAAAGUCUCAUUGUGCUUCCUUCUGGUACUCUAGUUGGGUUUUGAACCAGUGGAUUGUAUGAGGAUGGUAAUUUAAUAUUUUUUUAUGGUUAGUUUAGUUGUUCCUUAGAUAACCAGGUAGGCGUUUCAUGGUAGAAGUAUGGUAAGGUAUUUUGUUCUUUAUUAUAAGGGUUGAACCACCCCUGAAAUGGUUCUCAUUUAUUUAUUUUUUAUUGCCAAUAAAAAGAAAACAAUUUUUGCAAAGAUACUCAUUUAGAAUUGAUUAGAAUGCGUUUACUUAGUAAGAAUAAAGGGGAAGUUUGUAUGAUGAGCACCACAAAUUUAGUUUGCUAAUGCAUGGCAUUGAUGCUUUGUUCUUCUUUUUUCCAUUUUUUAAGCAGACAAAGUUGGUGGUUUGUGGACCGUAGAAGACAAACAAAAAUGUGGAAAUGAUUCCAAGUAAACAAAUGAAUGCGUUUUCUAGGCACAAAUACAAGCCACCAGUUAUCUUCUUUUUAUUUAUUUAUCAUCUUUAAGCAUCCUUCAACCUUACUCAUUACAAAAAAAUAAAUAAAAAAUAAAAAAUAAUUUUAAAAAUUAAAAUAAUUAAUUAUUAUAUUAAUUAAAUUAGAGAUAAUUUUAUAAAUUAAAAAAUUAUUAAAAAUAGUUUCUAUUAUUAAUAAAAAUAAUAAAAUAAUUUUUAAAUUAAUAUUUAAAUUAGUUAUCAAACUUUUUUAGAUAUUAAUAUUUUAGAUUAUAAAUUAGUCUCUACGUAUUUAAUCUAAAAUAUGAGUAGUUAAAACUUUGAUAGCUAAUUUAGAUACAAAUUUAAAAAUUAUUUCUAAUAUUUUAUUAAUAAUAUAAAUCACAUUAAAUAUAAGUAAUUUUUUAAUUUUAUCUAAUUUAGUAAUAUUUUUUUUAUAAAUUUAAUUAUUAUUUAAUAUAUUUGUUGAGUGAUAACACAACUUUCCCCAACAUUUCUUCUCACUCAUAUACUAUAUUUUAUGUAUUGAGGUGAUUUUCAGUUAUUUUUAGAAGUAACGUUUUUGUGCUUUUUUUAUUUUUGUAUUAAUUGAACUGUUAAAUUAAGAGUUUUUAUUAGUAGGUCAAGUCUAUAAGUUUUUUUUUUUAAUUUACUAAUAUAUUUAAUUUAUCAUUAAUAUAUUUUUAAAGUUUAUAUAAAAGUCAACUAUAAAAUUCCAUAACUAAAUAGUUUAUUAUUACAAUUUCAUAUAUAAAUAUAUGCCUUAAAAUAAUAACUUCAAUUUUUAAAAAAUUUAAUCUCUACUUAUAUAAAUAUCUUAUUAUAUCUGAUGUUGAUUUUAAAAUUUAGAAAAUAAAAUUUUCUUUCAUCAAUAACAUUUUUAAAUAAAUAUUAAUUGAACAUGUAACUAUUCAUAAACAGGGAGACUCCAAGUUAUACUACAAGAAAAUCAUUAAAUAAAAACUAAUUUUAGAAACAAAAAUUAGUUAGUUAUUAUAAUGAUUAAAUUAGAGACCAUUUUAGAUACUAAAAAAAUUAUUAGUUUCUAAAUUAUUUUAUUGAUAAAUAGUUUUUAAAUUGAUAUUUAAUUAACUACCAAAGUUUUUGCUACCAAAUUUAGAAUAUAAAUAAUUGGUAGUUAAAACCUUGGUAGCUAAUUAGAUAUCAAUUUAGAAAUUAUUUAUCAAUAAUAGAAACUAAUUUAAAAACUAAUAAUUUUUGUAGUAUCUAAAAUAGUCUAUAAUUUAUUCAAUAUACCAACUAAUUAUUUUUUGUUUUAUAAAUUAAUUUUUAUUUAAUUUUUUUUUUAGUGUUGGGAACAAGGUUCAAAUCCUUUUAAGGACGUUAACAAACUCAAAAUAGAUACCAAUUCAGAUAGUAAUUAAAAUAAAAAGACUCAUCCCCCCGUAUAACAUACACUACAAGAAAUCAUGAAAUAAAAACUAAUUUCUAGAAACCAAAAUAAUUAGUUGCAAUAAUAACUAAAUUAGAGACCAUUUUAGAAACUAAAAAGAAAUUUGGUUUCUAAAUUAGUUUCUAUUAUUGUUAAAUAGUUUCUAAAUUGGUAUCUAAUUAGCAAUCAAGGUUUUAGAGACUAAAUUUAGAAACUAAAUAAUUGGUAUCUAAAACCUUAGUUGCUAAUUAGAUACCAAUUUAGAAACUAUUUAACAAUAAUAGAAAAUAAUAGAAAUUAAUUUAGAAACCAAUUUUUUUGUUAGUUUCUAGAAUGGUCUCUAUUUUAGUUCCUAUUGUAACUAAUUAUUUUGAUCUCUAAAAAUUGGUUUCUAUUUCAUGAUUUUCUUGUAGUGAUAGUUGUGCAUUGAAAUAACGAAAAUUUCUUUGAAGUUUCAGAACUAAAUUUGAUUUAGCUAUGUAAGAUGUGAGUGUUACAGUGAGUUACAAAUGAAGCACCAUGUAUAAAACAUGCUUAAAUUAAUUAGUUAAUUUAGAUCACAACUACCAAUCAUAUCAAUAAUUAUGUGAUUUACCACUACAAGAAAAAUCAUCAAAUAGAAAUAAAUAUUAAAAUAUUAAAAUAAUUAGUUAAAAUAAUAACUAAUUAGAGAUCAUUUUAAAAAUUAAAAAAAAAAUUAAUUUCUAUUAUUGUGAAAUAGUUUCUAAAUUAGUAGGUAGGUUUUAACUACCAAUUAUUUAGAUUUUAAAUUUGGUAGCAAAAAACUUAGUUGCUAAUUAGAUACCAAAACCAUUUAACAAUAAUAGAAACUAAUUUAGAAACCAAAUAUUUAUUUAAUCUCUAAAAUGUUUCAAAUUUAGUCACUAUAACAACUAAUUAAUUUAAGUAAUAAAAUUGAUUUUCAUUUUAUAAUUUUCUUUACAGAGUAUAUUACGUAAUGAGGCCUUCACUGCAUGCACUACAAGAAAAUCAUCAAAUAGAAAUCAAUUUGUAGAAACCAAAAUAAUUAGUUACAAUAGUAACUAAAUUAGAGAUCAUUUUAAAAAUUAAAAAGAAAUUUGGUUUCUAAAUUAGUUUUUAUUAUUUUCUAUUAUUUUUAAAUAGUGUCUAAAUUGGUAUCUAACUAGCAACCAAGGUUUUUGCUACCAAAUUUAGAAAUUAAAUAAUUGGUAGUUAAAAUCUUAAUUGUUAAUUAGAUACCAAUUUAGAAACUAUUUAACAAUAAUAAAAACUAAUUUAGAAACCAUUUUUUUUUUUAGUUUUUAAAAUGAUCUCUAUUUUAGUUCCUAUUGUAACUAAUUAUUUUAGUAUCUAAAAUUUGGUUUCUAUUUCAUGAUUUUCUUGUAAUGAUGCUAUCAUAGCCUAAAUUCGCAACAUUUAUUUAGAUGCUUUCAGUUCUUCAAUUUUCUCACCAGGAAGUGAUGCUAAUAAUGAAAAAAGCUUACCCAUAAAGGUAGAUGGUGGUGAAGACAAACAAAUUUUAACAUUUUAGUACAAAUUGUGAAUCGAAAUGUUUUUAAACAUGACAAUAAACAAGGAAACAAAUUGUUUAAAGUGAGGGAAAAAGACUGAAUCAAUAAUUCUAAAGUUAGUUAACCUAUACAAUAAUUCUAAAAACUGAAUCAAUAAAUGAUCUCUUGUAAGGACUAAUGCAUGUGACUACAUUACUACUUACUUCAAAAUAAAAAUAUACAAUUAGCAAAACAGCAGUAUGAGAUUGUCACAAGAUGUUGAGUCAAUGUUUCAUCAUAAGCGAGAACACCAAAAUUAACACAAGGAUGAAUCAGACCAGACUAAUCACUCGAAUCAUUUCAUUGGAAUAUUUUAAAAAACAUGCAUUUUAGAAAGAAAAUUUAAAACAUUGAGACCAAAUCACAUGGUGUAAACUAAGUGGGACAUCACAAUAAGUUGAUUUUCCUAUAAAUUCACAUAAUUGUCAUUGAAUACUAGUUAUUUAUUACAUUUGAAAUUAAUUUGAUUGAGAUAAUAUUGUUAAGGUCAAUCAUCAUUAUGAGAUAUUGUUUGUUUUUCAACUUCAAAUUCGUUGAUAUAAUAUCAUAUCUAACUUAUCUUUAUUCGACUCUUAAACUAAGUGAGAUUAUUUAGUGUACCAGAAAAUUCUUCUAAGAAGGAUUCUAAGGGGAACUAAAAUUUACUUUUUGAAUCACUUUUUUAUUCUCCCUACAAGAGUUUAUUUUUUUAAUCUUUUAUUCAUUUCAUUAAUGGUGCAAAUGUUUCGACUUCAAAUCCGUUAAGAUAAUAUUAUUAUGAUUAAUUAUUAUAUUCAAGAUAUUUUCCGCUUUGAAGUUAGAAUUUCAUCAUGAUUUUACUCUUAACAUUGAUAUUCCAACCUUAGAUUUGUUUAAAAUAUUGUUGGUUUUGAAAGUCUCAAAACUCAUUAAAGAAAAUGUAUUUAAAUUACUCAUAUUAUUAAAUGUACCACUAGGUGAUAUUAUUAAAUGUAGCCCUACAUAAAGGUGAGUGAAUAUUGGAAAGUUUAGUUUGUUGAUAAAGAAAGGGUUUUGUAAUAAUCCAGAUCACGUAAAAAGGGUCCAGAUGAUGUUUCUAUAUGAUAAGAAUCGAAAUGCAUGUGACUCAUAAUGAAGUUUUGAAUUAACUCUUUCAAUUAUUUGACUUUUGUACUAAUCCAUUGUCUAUAAUAUGCACACUGUUCAGACUACAAGUACAAAUUUGUGUAUAGUGCUUGAAGCAAUGCUUCAUGCUUCAUAUUUUAAAAACUUAAUUAUAUACUCUGAUGUUAUCAAAUAUACUCUUUGAGUGGGGUUUAAAGCUAGUAAAAAAAAAAAACCAAUGUUCCAUGUAUAAAUGCAGUCCAGAAAUUAUUAAUUCAUAUUAUUUAUUUCCAUUUUAUCUGUAGUAAUGUUAUUUACAAUAUAUUUAUUUUUCUUAGCUUAAUAGAGUUUUUGUUACGUUGAAGGGGGGUGAGAAGAUGAAUUUGGAUUGAAUUGGUGACUCAUACAAAUUGGUUGUUACUCAUUGUUGGUUUAUUCAUAGUCUCUUAUUUCGGCUGGAAUAUCUUUGUGGUUUUGAACUUAAUCAAAGAGGUAGAUACACGCAAUUAUUAGAUACUUAAAUUAGUAAAUAUUUUAGUAGAGUAAUACAAAGUAUCUACAAUUUCAAUCAGAUGGAUAAGGUUGGCUUGAGUUUAAAAAAGAAGAAGCUUAAUUGACUAAACAUUUUGGGUAAAAAUUAAGCAUGCUCUAUGGGCUAUGAAGGCCCAGAACACCAUAUUCAGCGGGUAUAGGACAUUGUUGGGCCGAGAUAACUUAUUGGGACUGAAAUGAUUAAAUGAUUAAUUAAGGGCAAUUGCUUCCUGCACCAUAUUACUACACCCGAUCUCAGUGGAAAAGAUGAAACUGUCGUUAAAAAAAAUUUCCAAAAUAUGUGUUUUGGAUUUUUUUUUCCUGAACGAAAUUCUAUAUUACGGAUUUUUUUAUCUGGAAUGAGUUUUUCAUUUUUGUUUCCGGAUUUUUAUUUCUGGAACUCAAUAAUCACUUCCAGAUUUAUUUUUCCGAAAUAUAUUAUUUUCAAUUCCGGAUUUUUAUUUCUGGAAUUAAGGACAUUUUUGGAAAUUGAAAAAAUAUGUUGGAUGCAGGUUAAAAAUGAUUGGGUGUAGGAAGCAUUUGCCUUAAUUAAGCAUGCUCUAUGGGCUAUGAAGGCCCAUAAGACCAUAAUCAGCGGGUAUAGGACAUUGUUGGGCCGAUAUAGCUUGUUGGGGCUAAAAUGAUUAAUUCGGUAGGGCUGUUUCUUUCUUCACCUCCAUAUUUUCUAUAUGUAAAAAAGUUAAAUUAUAUGAAGUUUUGGUUGUGGAUGUGAGUGGAGUUGGUGUGGGAAGAGAUUGGUGAAGGUCAUGGUGGUGUUUGCUUUGCUCUUGAGUAGCAAGGUCGUUUGCAGUGAUUCGUGGUUGUUUAUAGUAGUUGGAGAUAUGUGUUUAUGGUGGGUUUUUUCGUUUUUUGGUAUAGAUUCUGGUGUGAGUUUGAUUAUAUUUUGGAUUGUGUAACUCAAAACGUGUUUUUGGAUCUAGAUAAACAUUUUGGAUUUUACAAUCCAGAGUACAAUAUUAUGGACUUGACAAUCUAAUCUAUAAGGUAUUUUCGGAUUCAAAAUUAUCUUACGAAUUGGAGAGUCUAACGUUUCACUUUUGGAUUGACCAAUCCAAAACAUAUUUCUGAAUCCAAAAACACCUUCUAGAUUGGAUUAAGACACUGGUAGGGAUGAAAGAAGAAAAAAAGGUGAAACAUGUGAGAUUUAUAAUUUAUUUAUUUAAAGAAGAACAACAACAUAUUUUUCACACAACCUAUGUCAAUGCCACAACACUAAGAUAAAAUCUUUAUAUAAAAACGAAUUUUAGAGACAAAAAAUAAUUAAUUAUUAUAUUAACUAAAUUAUAUAUUAUUUUGGAGACUAUAAAAAUAAUCAAUAUCUAAAGUAAUUUAUAUUAUUAAUAAAAUUUAUAAACUAAUUUAUAAAUUGAUAUCUAAUUAACUAUAUGGUUUGAGCUACCAAUUAAUCUAGAUUUUAGUUGGUAAUCAAAACCUUAGUUAAUUGGAUACAAUUUAGAAACUAGUUUAUAAAAUUUAUUAAUAAUAUAAAUUAUUUUAGAAACUGAUAAUUUUUGUAAUCUUUAAAAUAAUAUUUAAUUUGAUUAAUAUAGAAAUUAAUUAUUCUUUAUUUUUAUUAAUACUUUUUUUUAAUACAAAACUAUUUUCUUGUAAUGUAAGAAGAAAUGGAGGUGCACCAAGUAACAGGAAUCCGGUAGCCCUAACCAAUAUUUCUAGAAUGUAAGUUUCGAUUUGAGAUUAGUCAUUCCAAAUAAUGAAAACAGUGUACGAAUAAAUUAUUGGAGUGCAGAUAAUUAAUUGACUAAAAUAUGAACCAAACAAUAAAUUUCACUAUUGGAUUUAAUUAUUUUUAAGAGAAUAAUUGUUAGGAAAACAAAAAACAAUUGUUAUUUCACUAUAUAGUUUGCAUGAAACAAAUAGAAACUAUACCCUCUGUUAAGAAAUACAUUUUAUUUAAUUUUUUUUAAUAUAACAUCUUUUAUCUUUUUCGUUCAUACUUCUAAUAAUUAUGUGAUUGACAACGUAAACUAGAAAUGGAUUAAUUAUAAUUAUUUUAGCUUUAUAAAUUUGUUGCUAUCUUCAUCUCUAUUUUUUUAAAUUUUUCUUGGUUUGUGAAAAAAAACACGAUGGCACUUAUAUGAGAUGGAAGGAUUUAAACAUAUAUCAUCUUCUUUACAUAAUAAGUGUAUAAAUAUCACAACUAACAUUGAUUACUUUUUUCUACUAAUAUUUUUAGUAAGUGUAACAAGUCUGAUGUAUAUACGUAGUUCUAGUUUUUCUUUUCCAAAGUCAAUAAGAUUAUAUUCAUGUUUUAAUUAUUAUUUUUGUUACAGUGCGAAAGUGAUUCAACAAAUCACACAAUUCCCACAGUAUUCACACCCAUGCGUCGGAAGUUAAUGAGUCUCAUGCAUAUACUCACCGCCAAUGGAAUUUUCUUCUUCGGAAUCAAAUAAUAGUCUUUAUUAGGAUAUCUUAAUUUUAACAUAUUUAUAUACAUAAUUUGUUAUUUUUUAUUCUUAAUUUAUAAUUAUAUAAUAUAUAAUUUUGUGUUUCCAUUUUAAAAAUUAUAUGAAUUCUUGUAUUUGUAUCGUAUAAAUAAAUGACACUCGGUGUUUGUGCUAGAUAGUAACUAAUAACAAGUGUGAGGAUUUGUUAAAAUUUAAGCAAAAGUAACUUCCAAACAUACUUCCUAAUAGAUAAUCACACUUUCUGUUGUCACAUAUUUGUACAUUUAUUGACUUUUUUCAUUACAAUUAAUGUGCUUUUAGUGCAAGCAAUUGGACAUCUUCCAUUGCAGCAAGGUUUUUUAGUUUCAGUGAGUCGCUCACAUGUAUAUAUGUUAAGAUAAUUGAAGACUUACACUGAAAAGGUUUUUCAGAAGAAAGAAAAAACACAGAACAAACGUUUGGCAAUUAAUGCAUCACUUAUCUUAUUGACAAAAUAAUACUUAAUGAGAUCACUAAUUGCAAAUACCCUGCAUACUAGCUAGCUUAGUAGAAAUAAAUCAAAAACAUCACAACAAAAGUUCUCUCUAUUGGGAUGGAUGCCAUGGCAAGUCCCAAAUUGAGGUUGCAUCCUCUUGAACCUGCGGAAUCUGAACUGGGUUUUGAUCAAAGUCCUCGUUAUCGUUGAGUAACAUCUCUAGUGCAGCUUCCAAUUCAAGAUUUUCAACACCAUUAAGCCAGUAACAAGCGUUAUCUUCCAAUGUUCCACUCCCACCAGCAGCCUCCACCACCUUCGCAUCAUUCUGAAUUGCCACAUUCAUCCAAUCAUCUACACUCGUGAUUGGUGAUGCUUCAUUGGAGAGAUAACGGUGAAAAGGAAGGUAGCUAUCCUCUAUGCGGUAGGCACAGAGAGCUUCAUGGUCCAACCUCGCGUUCCUGUCCACAAACCCCAUAGACAACUUGCUCUGUGGACACUCAACGUUUUGACAUGCAUAUAACUUAUCAUCCUCACUGCCACUACCAAAAGAGACCUUCCUCUUCAAAAGUUGAGCAGAGUCAGAGCCAGAGCCUUCUCCCUCUUCAUGGUUCUCAACAUCUUCAUUUGAAAGAGAUAACUUGCCAGUUAUUCCUAGUAAAACCUCUUCUUGGUUCAUGACUUUGGACCAAGUCGAACUAUCCCUGGCUGUCAUUUUAUCUUGCAAGGUUUUCGACUGAGUCACCAACCUUCUGAGUUUAUCAAAAUCAGGGGAUAUGUGUUUGAUAAUCGCAGCCAGAACAGAAACUUUCCAGGCCUUUUUCAAGUCAUGGGGCUUCCUAUAAGGAGGGGCCCCAUGUUCUUGGGCCAGAAGGCCUUGCUCACCCCACCAGAGUUCCUCCCCGGUGGGCCACCAAGGGGGAGAUAAGCCUCUCUCCAAAGGGAACUUUCUUUGUGGAGGGACACAGUGUUGCCGCAGAGCAGAUAGCAGAGAACCCAAAGUAGAGUCUUGCAAGUCUUGGAGGAGGUGAAUAUAGGAGGUUAUAUCCAUCUUGUCUUUUUCCAAGAGUGGCAAGUAAUUCAAGAUUGCACUGGGGGCGCUUUGGUCAAAGCGGAUUUGGUCCUUCCACCACUCUCGCAAGCUGUCGGAGGAACCAGACACGGGCUUUCCCUUUUCUGGGAUGAUGCCAUAAACAAAACCUUGGGCGUUGCAGACUUCCAUGAUCUUCACCAUGUACUUGAGGACCAAGUCUUGUGCUCUUGACAUCUUCUUCCUUCUCGAUGCCUCUAUUUUUGCUUCUUUGUCCGGCUCUUGUUUCUCACGCUUCUCCUUCAGCUUCUGUAGCAGAAUCCUAUCCUUCCACAUGCGUUUUUUCAGCUGGUCAUAGUCGAUGCUCUCAUCUUGGUUCUCUUCUUCAGUGAUGUAGGGGUCAAUUUCUUCGUUGAUCAGCACCAUGACAAUGACUAAUUCUGUGAGUUGUUGUUGUUGUUGUUCCUAGAUCAACUUUGAUUCAGAUGAGGUUAUGGGAUAAGAAUGAAUAGGAGAGUUGUAGCAUGAGCAUGGAAGGUAGAGGGGUAUUUAUACGCAUAAGUGGUGUGCGAUAUAUGGCGGUGCAGGGAGGGAAAUUGGAUUAAGGUUAUGGGAAGAAAAGUUAUAAGAGUAUUAAUAAAUGAUGGAGGAAUAAGGACAAGGUGGCAUUACCAAGAUGAAGGUGAAUGAUGAAGUGUGGCCAGUGAUCUGAAGAAAAGGUGGCAGUGUUGCCGUGUGUCAAGGGAAGGCAUGGGUAGUUUUGUUGCAUGGAUUCUGAGUUUUCAACACUGUCUUUCACCAACUUGCUGCAUGAUGUAAUGCCCAACGCAUGUGGAUGGGACUCAACGUUUGCUUCUUUUAAUGUAUACAACCUUAACACUAAACACAAUUAUUUUUGGGCCCAUCAACUUCUGUUCUAUGAAAGGACAAAAAUUGUAGUUUGAGACUUAGAAGGAGACACAGUCAGGGAAGGCCCAUUUUUUUAUUUUGAUUUCACACAUGUGAGCCAAAAAUUAGAUUCAACACCUGACUCGACUUACAUCUUAUGGCCGAUUGCUUCCUGCACCUAGAUACCAAGUGUCACCUCACCUCUAUAGUAAACGUGGAAAUACUUUUCUUUUUUUUUUUAAUCCAUACAUAAUCGAGACGAUGUUUUUGGAUUCGGAAGUUUUUAUCCUUUUUGGUCUUUAGAUUGAAGUCUUUUUUGGAUUUGAGAUAAGUCUAUGGAUUAUCAGAUAUAUUUCGGAUUACAUAAUUUGAAAAUUAAUCUCAUAUUUAGAAAAAGACUUCUAAAUUAUGUAAUCUAAAAGCUAAUUAUGCUUUUGAAAAAAGACUUUUGGAUUAUAUAAUCUAAAAAUUAAUCUCAUAUCCAGAAAAGACUUAUGGAUUACGUAAUUCGGAAGCUAAUUACGCAUGUAAAAAAAAAGGCUUUUGGAUUACAUAAUCGGGAAACUAAUCUCAGGUAUAGAAAAGACUUCCAAAUGAUGUAAUAUGAAAGUUAAUCACAAAAGACUUCCUGAUGACAUAAUCUGAAAACUAAUUACAAAUCUUGAAAAAGACUUCCACAUUAUAUAAUCCAAAAUAUUGAAAAAAAAUUAUCCUACACAUAGGUUUGGAUAUGUUGAUCGUAUCAACUAUGUGAUUGGUAGAGAGUGAUGGUUUAAAGCCUAAAAACUUUCAAAUGGUUAUAAAAGGCUUAGAAAAUCAAUAGUGGUAGGUUGUCUUUGAGCAGGAGAUUGAAUCUAUGAGGAAGAACUACACAUGGACACUUGUUAAUCUGUAAAGAAAUCAUAAGGUGAUAAGAGACAAGUGAGUGUUCAAGAAAAAAGAGAGAAUACCAAAUGUAGAGGACAAAGCUUAAGGAUUAUACUGGUGACAAAAGAGUUUACAUAAGUAGGAAGGAUAGACAUUAAUAAGAUUUUUUCAUCUAUGAUAAAAUAUUAUUUAAUAAAUUUUUUGUAUCUAUUAUUAAUCAUACAAUUCAAAGCAUGGAGUAUUCAAAUUUAUUUAUUUUAAAAUAUAUUUUUAUGAAUGAAAAUAACUAAACAUACUUUUAAAAAUAUAUAGUUAAGUGUGUGGAAUUCAAUAAAAUGUUGUAUUUUUUGGUAAUGAAAUAUAAUGUAUUUAAUAGUAUAAUUUUUAUAAAUAUGUAAUGUUCAUAGAUAUAAAAUAAAAGAAAUGGUUUGACUUUGAACACUCCUCUGAAUGGUGGCCAAUGUGAUUGCGUCCAACAUCAGCUUUCAGCAAAUGCAAGGCUUAUAAUUGGCGUCAACAAUUAUUUUGUUUAGAUAAGUCCUAUAAUUAGGGUUUAAUGAGGAUUCAGCCACUCACCAUACAUCUUAGUGUUCUGCUCCAUCGUUGACAUUUACUAAAAUAUACCAAAGAUAUAUGAAUAUAAUAAUGAUAAUAACAAUAAUAAUAAAAUUUGGUAGACUUGCUAAAGAUAAUAAUAAAUUCUACAAUUAGUGGCCCAACUAUUAUGCACGUUAAUACAAUAUUUUUAAAAUAUUUUUUUUAUCAAACAAUAAUAUUUUUUAAAACUUAUAAAAGAUAACAAUAAUAAUCUAUAACUAUAAUAAAAUGGGUUAAAUAACUGUGAAAUUGUUUUUUUCUUUUACAAAUUUCAAACAUUUAAAUAUUCAUUUUUUUACCAGUAAAAAAUAAAUAAAAUAAAAUAAUACACUUUAAGAGUGUUUUAACUCUUACACAAUUAUAAAAAAACAAGUUUUUUAUUCAUUCAACCAGCUCAGGAUCCAACAGACUUUAUAGCACAUCAGUCACUUUAACAUACCAGAACAAGAUAAGAGCACAACAAAGUACAAUAUCAACUCUCCAAAAAAAACAUAUUCUCAAAACAAGACACAAAAAUCUAACAAACAUCAAAUAAAAGUAAGUCAAACACUCAAGCGUCAAAACCAUCAAACCGACCAAGCGAGCAGGAUACAUAAUCCAAAAAGCCUAAAGAAAACACACCACGACUUUCAAAUCUGGACAAAGUGUUAAACAUGGAUAACCAAUCAAGCAUCAGUCUCUCAAAUAACUCAUAUAACAUAAAGGUUCCAAACACCAAAUCGAGUAAUAUAAGUCCGUCAAUAUUUCCUUUACCGUAACCCAAGACAAAAAUCAUCAAGUCCUGCCACAUUUAAAUAUCUGUAAUAAGAAAACUAUUAAAAUGAGUCAUUUUUAAUUUUUUUACAGGUAACAAAUAAAUUUGUUAUAUAAACUAUAUUAUAAUAUUAUAACAUCUACGUCGACAAUGAGUCAACAUAAAAUGUUUUAACAUCCUAGUCUACAUUGGAAAUUCGUUUGUCAUGUAAAAAAAAAUGAAAUGACUCAUUCCAAUAUUUUUCUUAUUACAAUUAUUCACGAAGUCUAAAGUUUGAACUAGGGAUGAAAACCAAUCUCGCAUGAAAGUACAUGGACGAAAAAACAUAUUUACGACCCAUAUCCAGAAUAAAAAUCUUUAACCUCCUCCUCAAAAUUUGAUUUAUAUAUUUUAAAGAUUUCUUUCUUAUCAAAUGGCAUUAACCAUCUUAUUAGAAUUUGCCUCACAAUAAGUAAGUUAUAAAUUUGUACAUUAUUAAGAAACCAAGUAAUAGAUUAGAACUUUGACAAUAAAGAAUGAAAUGAAAAUAGUUUAAAGUUAUUUUUAGAAUAAAUUGAUUUAUUUUCUUUACAAUAAUAAUGUAUUGUCUCCUGUUUCUUAUGUUCUUAAUUAGAUUUUUAAUGAUGUAACUAAUCUAAGACAUUUUUGUGGCACAUAUAGUUAGAAAAUGAUAAGCACUUAGCGUGAUUCUCUGGCUUACAUCUAAAGCAACUCAUGGCACACGCACACUGCUUUCAACGUUCAACCUUUCACUUAAGAUUAGACUUCGUUUAUUUAAAUUAUGUCCAUUAGUUUCUUCUUCGUCUCUCAGCCAUCACAAAAACCAAAAAUAUAUUCAUCACAUACUUUUAAUUUUUUAAGAAGUAAAUUUUAAGUAUAAUUUAAUCUUUUCAAACUAAUUUAUAAAAUUUAUAUUUAUUUAUAUUAUAUAAAAUGUUUUUAUCAUAUAAGAUAUGUUAUAAAAACAGUAGUUAAAUUUAUGUGAUUUAUUUAAUAUUUAAUGUAAGUUGGAGAUGCAAUGAAACCGUCAACGAAAUAAAAUGCUAUUUUUUUUAUAAUUGUAGGAAUACUUUCAUUGUGGCGACUCUAGUGGUACACCAUAAUAUAUCACCACGAACUACGUAUUUCCAGUUCAAAUGAAACUUUUGCAUGUUUUCUCACAGAUAAUAAAAUAAAAUUAAAAUAAAGGAUAAGAUGAUAUACUUAUUAAGGUUAGAGUGUGAAGAAUUUAAUUUAAAAAAAUAAAGUAGUGGAGUGGGUGUUUUUGUUAAGUGAUUGAUUUAAUAAUAUAAGAAAUUGGGUUGGUGGUGUUCAUUGUGGCGCCGCAUAUGACGGUUCUUUCACCCUUUAUCUCCACUGUCUAUUCAGCCGCACCACC
rnacentral:lncRNA from 1 species